rnacentral:rRNA from 1 species
UACAGGGGGGGCAAGCGUUGUUCGGAAUUACUGGGCGUAAAGGGCUCGUAGGCGGCCAACUAAGUCACACGUGAAAUCCCCAGGCUUAACCUGGGAACUGCGUGUGAUACUGGAUGGCUUGAAUUCGGGAGAGGGAUGCAGAAUUCCAGGUGUAGCGGUGAAAUGCGUAGAUAUCUGGAGGAAUACCGGUGGCGAAGGCGGGUCUCUGGGCCGAUACUGACGCUGAGGAGCGAAAGCGUGGGGAGCGAACAGG